GUCACUCAGGGUCACUCAGGGGUCACUCAGGGUCACUCAUUGGUCACUCAUUGGUCACUCAGGGGUCACUCAGGGGUCACUCAGGGGUCACUCAGGGGUCACUCAGGGUCACUCAGGGUCACUCAGAGGUCACUCAGGGUCACUCAGAGGUCACUCAGGGUCACUCAGGGGUCACUCAGGGUCACUCAGGGGUCACUCAGGGGUCACUCAGGGGUCACUCAGGGGUCACUCAGGGUCACUCAGGGUCACUCAGAGGUCACUCAGGGGUCACUCAGGGGUCACUCAGGGGGCACUCAGGGUCACUCAGGGGUCACUCAGGGGUCACUCAGGGUCACUCAGAGGUCACUCAGGGGUCACUCAGGGGUCACUCAGGGGUCACUCAGGGGUCACUCAGGGUCACCCAGGGGUCACUCAGGGUCACUCAGAGGUCACUCAGGGGUCACUCAGGGUCACUCAGGGGUCACUCAGGGGUCACCCAGGGGUCACUCAGGGUCACUCAGAGGUCACUCAGGGGUCACUCAGGGUCACUCUGUGG